rnacentral:rRNA from 1 species
AACGAACGCUGGCGGCAUGCCUAACACAUGCAAGUCGAACGAGACCUUCGGGUCUAGUGGCGCACGGGUGCGUAACGCGUGGGAAUCUGCCCUUCGGUUCGGAAUAACUCAGGGAAACUUGAGCUAAUACCGGAUGACGACGAAAGUCCAAAGAUUUAUCGCCGAGGGAUGAGCCCGCGUAGGAUUAGGUAGUUGGUGGGGUAAAGGCUCACCAAGCCGACGAUCCUUAGCUGGUCUGAGAGGAUGAUCAGCCACACUGGGACUGAGACACGGCCCAGACUCCUACGGGAGGCAGCAGUGGGGAAUAUUGGACAAUGGGCGAAAGCCUGAUCCAGCAAUGCCGCGUGAGUGAUGAAGGCCUUCGGGUCGUAAAGCUCUUUUACCUAGGGAUGAUAAUGACAGUACCUGGAGAAUAAGCUCCGGCUAACUCCGUG